GGAAGGAGAGAGAGAUGCGCCAGAAACAGAUCCCCCGAUGCCCCUCCUCUCUCCCAAGUCGCCGCCACCAACCGCCUCGUGACCCUCCUCUCCUCCUCGCCGCCGGCCCUCCCCUGCCCUCCUCCCACCUCGCAGCUCCGGAGGCUACCGGAUCCGCCGCAUCACCCACCCACUUAUCCCUCUCACAUCCCAUCUCUCUCUUGAUGCGACUCCUCGUUGCGCUACCUGCGGCGGCUGAUUCAGGCGACAUCCAGCCGGCGAAUCCCGCCAUCGCGAAGCACAGCCUGACGUCCAAUCACACCGUGGCGCCCUUCCAUGCGGCUAGAUCCGGAGGUAGCGGGCUCCAAAGCCCACCCGUGACCUUUCCCUGAUGGCUAGGGCUUCGGGCGUCGGCUAAGGCACCGGUGGCCAUGUCGUCCUCUCUUUCGGUGAGUGAAUCCCCUCCCCUGGCUUUGGCCUCUCUCUCUUCCCCUUUAUCUAACCUCUGUUCUUCUCUUCUCCUAUAGACGUCUAGGUAUACACCCCUGAUUCUAUUGCUGCUAAUCCCUGUCAAAAAAGUUUGGCCCUUGUGCAAUUCACUGACGAACACUGAUAGGCCUGUAGACUGACUUCUGAUCUCCAUUGAUUUAUAUUUAUGCACGGAUUGCUACUCUAUUAAAUUACUAAUAUUAGAUAUCAAUGGAGCAUCAAAUUUUGCUAAGUGCUAAUUCAUCCAUCCUUGAUAGAUGAGUCGUUAAUCCUUUCUAUUUUUAAUAUGUAGAGAAGCGCUACUUCAUAUAUGCGGACCCCAUGUUAAACAGUCUAGUACAAGAGUUACAAUAUUUAAGGAGGGAUCCAGUCUUAGUAGAUCUCUGUAUUGCAGUUGUGAUGAGUUACUAAUCAAAGUUUUUGUUGCAAUUUCACACUUUUUGGGAGUCUGAUGGUCAGGUUAUUUAGGUGGAGGUUGUAGCUUGCUAAUGGUGGCUUUCACGUCCAGUGCAAAUACUAGUGGACGUGGACCUAUUGGGGAAAGCACGUACAUCUUUGUGUUUAGUGAGCAGGUUUCCGAAGAAAGAAAUACUCAAUGCCAUUCGGUGGUUUUCAAUGUGCCAGGCUCUACAUUCAUACUACAUCAUUGAGUUUUACCUUCAACUAAGACUAUUUCCGUUGAGAUUCAAAAGAUAUACGGAUGAUUACAUGGGUGCGUGGCAAGUAUACUACAAUGAUGAUGAUGAUGAUGUUCCUGGUUCACGAUGAAGACGAUGAUGGCUGUUCUCAGUUUUAGUUUAGUUGUAGGGAUGCUUUUCCUGUUGGAUGAUGUUCCUCGGUUAAGUUUUAGUUUAAGUUGUAGGGAUGUUGAUGGAUGAUUUUAGUUUAAGUUUUGCUGUCAAGAGAAUAUUCAGGUUAUGCAUCACAUCUGGAUGUUAUUACUCCUGUAAUAUCAACUAUUGUAAUCCCACAGUUUUUUUCAAUAUAUGAUUUCUUCC